rnacentral:rRNA from 1 species
AAUCAACGCUGGCGGCGUGCCUCAGACAUGCAAGUCGAACGAUUAAAGCUCUCUUCGGAGAGUGUAUAGAGUGGCGCACGGGUGAGUAACACGUAAGUAAUCUACCCUCGAGUGGGGAAUAACGUCCGGAAACGGACGCUAAUACCGCAUAAUGCAGCGGCACCGCAAGGUGACAGUUGUUAAAGAUUUAUCGCUUGAGGAGGAGCUUGCGGCAGAUUAGCAGUUGGUAAGGUAAUGGCUUACCAAGGCUACGAUCUGUAACCGGUCUAAGAGGACGGUCGGUCACACUGACACUGAAUAACGGGUCAGACUCCUACGGGAGGCAGCAGUCGGGAAUUUUGGGCAAUGGGCGAAAGACCUGACCCAGCAACGCCGCGUGAAGGAUGAAGUAUUUCGGUAUGUAAACUUCGAAAGAAUGGGAAGAAUAAAUAACGGUACCAUUUAUAAGGUCCGGCUAACUACGUGCCAGCAGCCGCAGUAAC